GCACAAUCCCAACUACAGAUGAGUGGGAGGACAAACAAUGUGAUGGUUUGAUAUGAGUGGGUGAGAUUAUACUGUGGGUGGGUAGGGAGGAAUGUUUUGGUCAAAUUAAUGUGGCUGUAUUUGAGGGUGGGACAUGACAAACUAGAGUGUGGCUUGUGUUGGGUGGGAUUUGGAUGGAGCUUAGAGGAGAGUGAAAGCAAGAGCAGUGUAUCUGCUAUUACAAAUCACAUCAAAAUCAAAAGUCCAUCAUUGUAUAUAUGACAAAAUAUUUCAUUGAAUUCCAACAUACUGAUUUUCUAUGAUCUUGUGUUACUCGUGAUUUUACUUCUAACAUAAGCUAAAUGAAACAUGAUUAUUAAGUUUUUGUUUUACAAGUAGAAAGUGGGUGGGAUUUUGCCAGUAUUUUACAUGGGUCAAUGGGUGGUGAAUUCAAAAGUAGCUGUAGACUUAGUUUGUCAUUUAUAUCCUAAAUUCAUUUUUCUGUGCACUGAUGACAACUGCAGUGCCUGGGUUUCCAUGUUCACGUGGGGAGAAUUAAACUGUAAUACAGACAGCUUAAUUCUCCCUGAUAUAUUUUGAUCGUUAACUGCAUGACUAUAUAUGUGUUUUUGAUUUAAAGAAAAGGGUAAAAGUUGUGGGAGGGUGUAUAUAAUUGGUACCUUCAGGGAGGGAUAUGUGUGUGAAUUCUGUAAGUUUCUGGUGAGUGAUGGACUGUUCUACAUGUACCUAAGAGAGACCACCACUUUUGUGUGUUAACCUGAUGGACUCUUCCAUCAGCAACACACCUGUCAGGUAGACAGAUCUCAGGUGAUAAUACUAGCUGAUUUAUAUCAUUACCAUGACAAAAGCACAACUUAUCUUUAUUUUGUCAAAGUAAAUAUCAAGUUGUAUCAUGAAUUUUGCAUAGCUUAAUACUGAACAGAACUGAGGAACUUAAGAGGCCCAGAAAAGGUAGAGUAUGACACACAAUACAGACGGCUCAGAUUAUUGUCCAUGCUCAUGUUAAACCUGAUGAUGACUUUUGUCUUUUCCAGGGUUUUUGCUAAUUUUGACUGAAGCAGGAGUUACCUCUCUUUGUUCACACUGAUUCCUCUGUUUUAUAGGUGCAUAUUAAGAAAAGCAAGUGGGAAGUGGGAACUGAGGAGGAACUCGACAAGCUGGACGGUCUGGUCCACCAGAAGAAGAGGAGGCCAGCCACCCCUGUAUCCAUUGACGAUUUCCUAGGAGAGUAUUACUCCAAGCCUCUGGCCCCUGGGCAGAAGAGGGUGCGCUGGGCAGAUGUGGAGGAGAGGAAGGAACAGCUCCGUCGGCGUGAGAUCGGCUUCGUGGUCGGUCAGACCCAGAGAGACUGGGAGAGGAUCACUGAUGAUACGUUCGCUGACAGACAGCUCAACAGAACUAAAUACAUAUAACACAAUAAAAUCAAUUCUACUUAAAAAGGAGGAAUUUUUAAAUCUGCAUUAUAAGCGGACUUUGAAGUCAGUGUGCUGACUGGGUUAAUGAGAGAGCCACAUGUACUUAGAAGUUUGACUGUGACGUGAAGAAGAGGGUGCGACAAACUGGUGCCGAGACCUCUGACUGUUUUGUAUAUGAAUCAGAUUUUCAUCCUAGAUGUACAGAUAUCGUGCGACGAUUUAAGCCUUAAAAAGGUUGUCCUCGGCUCCAGAUUUUAAUUGUUUUUAAUGCUUCAUGUUUUUUAGUUGUGUUGUUCAUAGACUGUCUCUUGUUGUAUAUCAAUAAAGUAUGUACGCCAUC
rnacentral:misc_RNA from 1 species